rnacentral:rRNA from 1 species
GACGAACGCUGGCGGCGUGCUUAACACAUGCAAGUCGAACGGAAAGGCCCUGCUUUUGUGGGGUGCUCGAGUGGCGAACGGGUGAGUAACACGUGAGUAACCUGCCCUUGACUUUGGGAUAACUUCAGGAAACUGGGGCUAAUACCGGAUAGGAGCUCCUGCUGCAUGGUGGGGGUUGGAAAGUUUCGGCGGUUGGGGAUGGACUCGCGGCUUAUCAGCUUGUUGGUGGGGUAGUGGCUUACCAAGGCUUUGACGGGUAGCCGGCCUGAGAGGGUGACCGGCCCCAUUGGGACUAGGAUACGGCCCAGACUCCUACGGGAGACAGCGGUGGGGAAUAUUGCACAAUGGGCGGAACCCUGAUGCAGCAACGCCGCGUGCGGGAUGAGGGCCUUCGGGUUGUAAACCGCUUUCGCCUGUGACGAAGCGUGAGUGACGGUAAUGGGUAAAGAAGCACCGGCUAACUACGUG